rnacentral:rRNA from 1 species
GAUGAACGCUGGCGGCGUGCCUAAUACAUGCAAGUCGAGCGAACAGACGAGGAGCUUGCUCCUCUGACGUUGGCGGCGGACGGGAGAGGCACACGUGGUUGAACUACCUCUAAGACUGGGGUAACUUCGGGAGACAGGAGCUAAUACCGGAUAAUAUAUUGAACCGGGAGGUGCAAGAGUGAGAGAAGGUUUUGCUGUCACUUAAAGAUGACUCCGCGCAGCAUUAGCUAGUUGGCAAGGUAAAGGCUUACCAAGGCAACGAUGCUUAGCCGACCUGAGAGGGUGAUUGGCCACCCUGUCUCUGAGACACGGUCCCGACUCCUGCGGUAGGCAGCAGUAGAGACUCUUCCGCAAUGGGCGAAUGCCUGACGGUGCACCGCCGCCUGAGUGAUGAAGGUCUUCUGAUCGUAGAGCGCUGUUAUUCGUGAGGUACUAAUGUGUAUUUACCUAGGCUCGUCUUGACGGUACCUGAUCAGAAAGCCCCGGCUAACUCCGUG